GACUGCUCCGGUGGCUUAGUGUUUAGAGCGUCCGCCUUGAAUACGGGAGGUCAUGUGUUCGAGAACCGGCCGAGUCA